GAUGAACGCUGGCGGCGUGCCUAAUACAUGCAAGUCGAGCGAAUGAUGAGGAGCUUGCUCCUCUGAUUUAGCGGCGGACGGGUGAGUAACACGUGGGUAAUCUGCCUGUAAGACGGGGAUAACUCCGGGAAACCGGGGCUAAUACCGGAUAAUAAGAGAAGAAACAUUUCUUCUUUUUGAAAGUCGGUUUCGGCUGACACUUACAGAUGAGCCCGCGGCGCAUUAGCUAGUUGGUGAGGUAACGGCUCACCAAGGCGACGAUGCGUAGCCGACCUGAGAGGGUGACCGGCCACACUGGGACUGAGACACGGCCCAGACUCCUACGGGAGGCGGCAGUAGGGAAUCUUCGGCAAUGGGCGAAAGCCUGACCGAGCAACGCCGCGUGAGCGAUGAAGGCCUUCGGGUCGUAAAGCUCUGUUGUUAGAGAAGAACAAGUACGAGAGUAACUGCUCGUACCUUGACGGUACCUAACCAGAAAGCCACGGCUAACUACGUGCCAGCCGCCGCGGUAAUAC
rnacentral:rRNA from 1 species